UACAGAGGGGGCAAGCGUUAUUCGGAAUUAUUGGGCGUAAAGGGCGCGUAGGCGGCCUUGCAAGUGACGGGUGAAACCCCUCGGCUUAACCGAGGAACUGCCUGUCAGACUGUUUGGCUUGAGACCGGGAGAGGUGAGUGGAAUUCCCAGUGUAGCGGUGAAAUGCGUAGAUAUUGGGAGGAACACCAGUGGCGAAGGCGGCUCACUGGACCGGUACUGACGCUGAGGCGCGAAAGCGUGGGUAGCAAACAGG
rnacentral:rRNA from 1 species